UAGGCGUACGUGAGGUGUACAGUCGGAUGCUUAAGGGAUAAGUUUGACAGGACUAAAGCCCUACUUCUAUGCCUCAAGGAAUUUUUCCAUUACCUUCCUCCAGGCGAGCCUCUAGCUACAGAUCCAAAUUGGAUCCAACUUUCUUUAUCAUCAUUAUUAAAUUCUCCAAAUUCCUUUCAUGUAUGAGAUUUUGGAAGAGAAUUAUCAACAGAACUCACUUUCUCUUCUUCAACAAUGGUUUCUUCUUCAUUCUCCAUGCUCGUGACCAACCAUUUUAAUACGUAGGAUUGAUCUCUUUCACCGACGUGGUUGGCAGCAACACAACCACAAUCGAAAAUAAUAGUACUAUGAAGUGAUAAAUUUCUAACAAGGUUAUGCAAGGCUUCCCUACAGUCGGCAUCUCCACCAUUUGGACUCACAAGGAUAAUUCAAUGUUGCAGUCCUUCCAUUAUUGGCUAAGUGCAUGAAUUCUACAGUACUAUUGAACAUGCCAAGAACCUCAAUGCAAAGAAGAAAGUUAAAGACCAAAAAUGGGAACUUUACUGUGAAGCCAGCAAUAGAGACUUUUGGAUACUCCUGCAAGUUCUCAUGGAACAUGGACAUGGAAGAUGAUAUGGGGAAUCAAGAUUUCAUUCAAGGUGGCUUGAUUUACCUGGUUAGUGGCCAAACAAGCAAUCCUAACAUAGGACAAUCUUAUGCAAACAGGGAGGCAGUUAUGCUCCGGAUGAUUUUUCGUGUGAAACUAAACAGAGACAACAAAUCAUUUCUUCUUAACAUUACAAGUUGACGGCUCAACUAUGUGACAUUUUUCUCAACCUUAAGGGUAUCAGAUUGGUCAUGCCAAGAGAUACUUCAGAUAUACUAGCACGCUUGAACAGAGAUGGGAGCAUGUCAGGACACAACGAGAGAUGGACGACUGUCCCUGCAUCUGGUGGACAAUAUGGUAGAAAAGGAAUCAGAGAUAUUUUAACAAAAGCAUCUCUUCUAGAGUUUGAAAAUGAACUUCUUAGUGACCUUUUAUUUUUGGUGUAUACGUACCCUGCUUAAUGAGGUGGAGGAAAUUACUCAUACUUUAGAUAGCUUAUGAGAGAGCAGGUGAUAGAAGUUUUUGAUGUUCUCCUCUAAAUAUUGAUGAAACACAUUAUUGGUGUAUUUCUUGUCUAUAAAACUGUUAACUUUCUCAAAGAAAAAUAAACAUCAUUGUAAGCUAGAAAACACCUAUGAACUCCCGAAUAAAUAAAUAUUGCACUUG